rnacentral:rRNA from 1 species
GAUGAACGCUAGCGGGAGGCCUAACACAUGCAAGCCGAGCGGUAUUGUUUCUUCGGAAAUGAGAGAGCGGCGUACGGGUGCGUAACACGUGUGCAACCUGCCUUUAUCUGGGGGAUAGCCUUUCGAAAGGAAGAUUAAUACUCCAUAAUAUAUUGAACGGCAUCGUUUAAUAUUGAAAGCUCCGGCGGAUAGAGAUGGGCACGCGCAAGAUUAGCUAGUUGGUGAGGUAACGGCUCACCAAGGCGAUGAUCUUUAGGGGGCCUGAGAGGGUGAUCCCCCACACUGGUACUGAGACACGGACCAGACUCCUACGGGAGGCAGCAGUGAGGAAUAUUGGUCAAUGGGUGCAAGCCUGAACCAGCCAUCCCGCGUGAAGGACGACUGCCCUAUGGGUUGUAAACUUCUUUUGUAUAGGGAUAAACCUACCCUCGUGAGGGUAGCUGAAGGUACUAUACGAAUAAGCACCGGCUAACUCCGUGCCAGCCGCCGCGGUAACAC